rnacentral:snoRNA from 13 species
UUUCCCAUUUGACUACCACAUUUUCUCCUGUGAUAGAUUUUAGUGGCUAUGCUUAUGGGAGAGAUGAAAGUUGCCAUGAUCUGAAGAGGGAGGGCUUUUCAGUGCCCUCCUCCUAUAUGGAAUGGCUGAACAGAAGACC